AUUUCAACGUUUCUAUCAUUUAAAUACAUUUUCCUGCUUGUCAUAUUGUUCUGCUAAUCUAAACCAUGCUAGAUUGUGAUUGGUUAGUACAGUGCACUGGGGUUCCUCCCCGGCAUGUGUGUGUGUGUGUGUGUGUGAGAGAGAGAGAUCAAAGAUUACAACUGCAAGGUCAAAUCUGUCUGUUUGAUCUCCAUGUCUAAAUUAAUAUUCUGGGUUUUAGAAAAACAUGCCAUUCCUUGUUAUUUUGAAGUGAAGUGACUGAUCCGAGACGUGAUAGAUAUCUUGAAUGAAUCAGUUUGUUCAUGUGUGAGAUUGAGUGGCAACACUCACUAUUUCAUUAAUAACUCGAAGCACUUGAAGCAAGUUUUAAAUGAACAAAUCACUGAAUCUGUCUUGUCUGACUCGAAAUGAGCCUAAAAGAGGGAGUAAAAUGAUUCUCAGAGCUCCAGUGUGCUGAUCGGACUCGAAACUAUAUAACAUCAUAUCUGCAUUACCGUUCAAAGGUUUCAGUUACACUAAAGAUAGUAAUGCCGAUUUAAUGAUCAAGAAACUUGUCUAAUAAUUAUCAUCAUCAAUGUUGAAGACAGUUGUGCCACGUAAUAUUUUUUUGUGGAAACUGUAUAUAUUUUUUGAUGAUUUAGAAUAAAUAAAAAAAUUACUUUUAUUUGAAAUAGUAUCAUAUCAUAAUCUUUUGAAACAUUAAUAGUCUUUUUCUGUCACUUUUGAUCAGUUUAAUGUGUCUUGGUGAAUAAAACUAUUAAUAAAAAAAAAUAAAAAAAUACUUAUUAAAUAAAAUCUUCCUUGAAAAACUUUGAAUGGUGGUGAAUGUCACAGUGUCUGGAACAUUAGACCCUUCUCUCAAAGAGGUGUUUUGAGCGUUAUGGAUUAUGUCAAAUCAUAGUUACUUUUGUCUACAAUGCUUUUAGUUUUUUUUGCCCAUCCGCUGAGUUUUGAGUAUCUGAGCACAGGCUUUUUGUGUCUUCAACCACCGAACUGGUGCACGUCUUCAGUGAAAGAAAGGUUAUGGAGUCAGUCGCGGGAUCUUUCAGCUGUAAGUGAAACACGAGGCAGCAGUCUGACGUUCUCAGUUUCGCCGCCCAACACGAGAAUCAGGACUAUUUUGGAUAAAAAGGAUAAUAGACAAUGUUUAAUACACUUAAAUUGAAAUGUUACUUUUAAAUAUUACUUUUUUAUUUCUAAAAUGCUUGUUAAUCGAUUUAAAAUAUAUGUAAUAUUGUGUAAACCGUGCUGUAUUCACCCCAAUAAAUUAAAUUUGUCAGUGUG